rnacentral:rRNA from 1 species
UACGUAGGGUGCAAGCGUCGUCCGGAAUUAUUGGGCGUAAAGAGCUCGUAGGCGGUCUGUCGCGUCUGGUGUGAAAACUCAAGGCUUAACCUUGGGCCUGCAUCGGGUACGGGCAGACUAGAGUGCGGUAGGGGAGACUGGAAUUCCUGGUGUAGCGGUGAAAUGCGCAGAUAUCAGGAGGAACACCGGUGGCGAAGGCGGGUCUCUGGGCCGUAACUGACGCUGAGGAGCGAAAGCAUGGGGAGCGAACAGG